rnacentral:lncRNA from 1 species
AUGGUAGUGCAACGUGUGCUAACACACAUGGGUAACAGCCGUGUACAUCCAUGUGCAUCCACAUACAUCCCUAUAUAUCCAUAUACAUCCACAUACAUCCACAUACAUGCAUAUACAUCCAUAAAUAUCCAUAUACAUCCACAUACGUGCAUAUAUGUCCAUAUAUAUCCACAUACAUCCAUAUACAUGCACAUACAUCCACAUACGUCCACAUACAUGCAUAUAUGUCCAUAUAUACCCAUACACACCCAUAUACACCCACAUACACCCACAUAUUCCCACACACACCCACAUGCACACACACCAAGCCUGUGUGCAGCCAGAGCAGAGCCCCCGGGGCACCCAGCCCGGCCCAUCCCGGCCGAUCCCGCCCCAUCCCCGCGCGGUACCGGCGCUGCCCCCCCCCGCAUCCCCCCGGAUCCCCUCCCCGGUGCCGCCGCGCCCCUUACCCUGGCAGCCCCCCGGGAUCCCCACCAUGGCCCGGCCGGGCCCGGCCCCUCGCCGCCUCCUCCCGCUGCCUCCGCGGCCCUGCCCGGCCCUUCCCCGCCCGCCUCUCGCCGUGACGCGCCCGGGGGCGCGGCCUGCCCCGGCCCGGCCGCCGGGGAAGGGCCCCGCUGCUGGCGGUGGCGGGGCCGGGCCGGGGGCGCUGCCGCGGGGGCUCCCCGUGGGGCCGCGGGGAAGGCGCGGAGCGGAGCGCGGCCAGAGCCGGGAGCCGCUGUGAGGGGAAGGGGAGAGCCCGCCCACAGCCUGCCUCCGGGGGGCGGCACGGCGGGGCCCCGGUGUGUCCCCUCCCGGUGUGUGCCCCUGGUGUGCCCCCCCAUGUGUGCCCACGGUGUGUGCCCCCUCACCGUGAGGUUCGGUGUCACGUCGCUGGUGAGGGAGUUUUGUGUGCCAGCAACUCUGCCACGGGCCCGGCCCAUCUCCCAGCGCCUCUGUCUGCAAACUCCCCACAGAGUCCAUGCACAGAAAAGCUCCUUUAGGCAAACUCACGAGAUGAAGCCAAGUCAAAGACCUGAAAAUGGGGCGUUUAAACUCUGGUAG